rnacentral:rRNA from 1 species
CAGUAGCCACGGGAACACGUAGGUGGCAAGCGUUGUCCGGAAUUAUUGGGCGUAAAGCGCGCGCAGGCGGCCUAUCCAGUCUGUCUUAAAAGUUCGGGGCUCAACCCCGUGAUGGGAUGGAAACUAGUAGGCUAGAGUAUCGGAGAGGAAAGCGGAAUUCCUAGUGUAGCGGUGAAAUGCGUAGAUAUUAGGGAGAACACCAGUGGCGAAGGCGGCUUUCUGGACGAAAACUGACGCUGAGGCGCGAAAGCUAGGGGAGCGAACGGGAUUAGAGACCCCUGUAGUCCCUGUCUCUUAUACA